CUCACCUAGAGGUUUGAGACAAGACAUAAAUGGAUUCACACUUGUAAAUUUUUCAAGGUUGAUGCAUACUGGUGUGUUAUUGAAAGAUGAUCCAUUUAUUUUUUCAUCUCAAGCUCGACACGUGUUUUUUGUGCAAGACUCAAAAGAUAAAAAUUGGUCUCUUGUUAUUAAGACGAAACCUAUGGACUUGUAUGAUAUGGAAAAAAGGUUGGAAGAGGAGGACGAUGAUACUUAUACUCAGUGUAUGCCUUAUAAUGUUGUGCCAACUGAUGAAAGUAAAUGCGCCAACGAGUUUGAUUAGGAUGGAUGUUGAAUGAGAAUGUAGUUUCAUAAUGGUAACAAUAUGCCCCGAGGAAGAUGAUUUAGAGAUGUGGAGUUCCAGCAUUCUCAGGUGGGAUCUACUUCUGAGUAGUCCCUGCAGUCCCAGCAGCCAUGUGAGCACCAGCAGCAAGAGUCAGAAUCUCAGCGCGAGCCUCCUGCUGAUUGUCCGGAGGAUGAGCUCCGGAUCCAGGAUGGACAAGGGACAGUGAGGACGAGACGGGGACCCA